rnacentral:rRNA from 1 species
UGGGGAAUAUUGCACAAUGGGGGAAACCCUGAUGCAGCGACGCCGCGUGAGCGAAGAAGGCCUUCGGGUCGUAAAGCUCUUUUAUGAGGGAAGAUAAUGACGGUACCUCAAGAAAAAGCCCCGGCUAACUACGUGCCAGCAGCCGCGGUAAUACGUAGGGGGCUAGCGUUGUCCGGAAUCACUGGGCGUAAAGGGUUCGCAGGCGGAAUAACAAGUCAGAUGUGAAAGGCAUGGGCUCAACCCAUGUAAGCAUUUGGAACUGUAAUUCUUGAGAAGUGGAGAAGUAAGUGGAAUUCCUAGUGUAGCGGUGAAAUGCGUAGAUAUUAGGAGGAAUACCUGUGGCGAAGGCGACUUACUGGACACAAAUCUGACGCUGAGGAACGAAAGCGUGGGUAGCAAACAGG